rnacentral:piRNA from 1 species
UUGAUGACAUUUUCCUUUCGCUAGUCAAC